CUGCCGGACCUAUGUAUGGUCUUGGUGGGUCACUUGACCCACUAACUUUCAGGGUUUCAUUUAUUAUUAUUAUUUUUUUAUGGGGCUUUAGAGCCAAAAAUCAUAUUUGGACAGUAACGGUAGUUGGGCUUUUUUAUUAGAAUAGAGUUACAGCGAUAACCCGACAAUUGAGAGAGUGAGAGUUAAGAUUAUUUUGUCAUUUACGAUAUUUAAUUUGAAAAUUCUUUGGAAAUUAUUAUUUAUCAUAUAUGUGAGAUUAUUUUAAAUUCUUUGAGAAUUGUUAUUUUACAUAUAUAUAUGAGAUUUGUGAAUUUAUGACAAUGAUCACUUGUAUGUGUUCAUGUAGUAUAAAUAAUUUUUUAAUGAGUUUGAUCGUAUCCCACUAACACCAAAUGUCUGCGCCCG
rnacentral:lncRNA from 1 species